rnacentral:rRNA from 1 species
CGCCUUUUGAAUUACUAACAUAAAAGGUCCUGCCUGCCCAGUGACACCUGUUCAACGGCCGCGGUAUUAUGACCGUGCAAAGGUAGCGUAAUCACUUGUCCUUUAAAUAAAGACCAGUAUGAACGGCAAGACGAGAGCCUAACUGUCUCUCCACACUAGUCAAUGAAAUUGAUCUUUCCGUGCAGAAGCGGAAAUAUUAUUAUAAGACGAGAAGACCCUGUGGAGCUUUAAGUUAAAACCAGUUAUUUAAUAUAACGUGGCCAAAGACUUUAGGUUGGGGCGACCGCGAGGUACAACAAAACCCUCAAGAUAAAACCGUAGAAAGACACUUCAAAUAAACAAAAUAUUGGUAUAUUGACCCAAAAAUUGAUCAACGAACCAAGUUACCCCAGGGAUAACAGCGCAAUCCACUCAAAGAGUCCUUAUCGACGAGCGGGUUUACGACCUCGAUGUUGGAUCAGGACCCCCAAAUAAUGUAACAAUUAUUAAAGGUUCGUUUGUUCAACGAUUAAAGUCCU